rnacentral:rRNA from 1 species
GGCUAACGCUGGCGGCGUGUCUUAGCCAUGCAGGUCGAGCGGACUUAUGGGGUAACUUAUAAGUCAGCGGCGGACGGCGGAGUAACACGUAGCUAACCUACCCUCUGGACGGGGAUAACCUACCGAAAGGUGGGCUAAUACCCGAUGUAGUCAUCCUGUAUAGGGGUGAUGAAAGGUGGGCUUCUGUUUACAAGCUCAUGCUGGAGGAGGGGGCUGCGGCCUAUCAGGUAGUUGGUAGGGUAAUAGCCUACCAAGCCGAUGACGGGUAGCCGGCCUGAGAGGGUGACCGGCCCGAGGGGCACUGAGAUACGGGUCCCACUCCUACGGGAGGCAGCAGGCUAGAAAUUUGGGCAAUGGGGGAAACCCUGACCCAGUGACGCCGCGUGCAGGAAGGAGCCCUUCGGGGUGUAAACUGCUGUCGUGUAGGGAGAAGGGUACUAAGGUGAACAAUCUUAGUACUUGACGGUACUACAGGAGGAAGCCCAGGCUAACCUCGUG